rnacentral:rRNA from 1 species
GCACCUUUCAAGCGAGUGGCGAACGGGUGAGUAACACGUGGAUAACCUGCCUCAAGGCUGGGGAUAACAUUUGGAAACAGAUGCUAAUACCGAAUAAAACUUAGUAUCGCAUGAUAUAAAGUUAAAAGGCGCUACGGCGUCACCUAGAGAUGGAUCCGCGGUGCAUUAGUUAGUUGGUGGGGUAAAGGCUUACCAAGACAAUGAUGCAUAGCCGAGUUGAGAGACUGAUCGGCCACAUUGGGACUGAGACACGGCCCAAACUCCUACGGGAGGCUGCAGUAGGGAAUCUUCCACAAUGGGCGCAAGCCUGAUGGAGCAACGCCGCGUGUGUGAUGAAGGCUUUCGGGUCGUAAAGCACUGUUGUAUGGGAAGAAAUGCUAAAAUAGGGAAUGAUUUUAGUUUGACGGUACCAUACCAGAAAGGGACGGCUAAAUACGUGCCAGCAGCCGCGGUAAUACGUAUGUCCCGAGCGUUAUCCGGAUUUAUUGGGCGUAAAGCGAGCGCAGACGGUUGAUUAAGUCUGAUGUGAAAGCCCGGAGCUCAACUCCGGAAUGGCAUUGGAAACUGGUUAACUUGAGUGUUGUAGAGGUAAGUGGAACUCCAUGUGUAGCGGUGGAAUGCGUAGAUAUAUGGAAGAACACCAGUGGCGAAGGCGGCUUACUGGACAACAACUGACGUUGAGGCUCGAAAGUGUGGGUAGCAAACAGGAUUAGAUACCCUGGUAGUCCACACCGUAAACGAUGAAUACUAGGUGUUAGGAGGUUUCCGCCUCUUAGUGCCGAAGCUAACGCAUUAAGUAUUCCGCCUGGGGAGUACGACCGCAAGGUUGAAACUCAAAGGAAUUGACGGGGACCCGCACAAGCGGUGGAGCAUGUGGUUUAAUUCGAAGCAACGCGAAGAACCUUACCAGGUCUUGACAUCCUUUGAAGCUUUUAGAGAUAGAAGUGUUCUCUUCGGAGACAAAGUGACAGGUGGUGCAUGGUCGUCGUCAGCUCGUGUCGUGAGAUGUUGGGUUAAGUCCCGCAACGAGCGCAACCCUUAUUGUUAGUUGCCAGCAUUCAGUUGGGCACUCUAGCGAGACUGCCGGUGACAAACCGGAGGAAGGCGGGGACGACGUCAGAUCAUCAUGCCCCUUAUGACCUGGGCUACACACGUGCUACAAUGGCGUAUACAACGAGUUGCCAACCUGCGAAGGUGAGCUAAUCUCUUAAAGUACGUCUCAGUUCGGACUGCAGUCUGCAACUCGACUGCACGAAGUCGGAAUCGCUAGUAAUCGCGGAUCAGCACGCCGCGGUGAAUACGUUCCCGGGUCUUGUACACACCGCCCGUCACACCAUGG